rnacentral:tRNA from 1 species
GGUGGCUCAAUGGUUAAGGGCACUGGCCACCCUUUCAGAAGAUCUGGGUUCAAUUCCCAGCC